CAAGCACAGACUCCUCCUGAGUAUACCUUUGACUCACAUAUCAGAACCUUCUGGGGCCCUGAAGGCUGCCAAAUAUCCCACACACAGAGGAGGUGCCGGCUAUCCAGAGAUGGGGCAAAUGGCUCUUCAGGAAAGAGGAAAGGCCUUUUACCCUGAAGGAACGGCAGGCUUGUGUUCAAUUGGGAGGAGCUGUCACUGAUGUUCAGAGCUUUGUCUUGAGCCCUGGGAUUCCAGCUGGGUCCAGCAGCCAAACGGUCUUCUUCAAGCAAAACAGCAACCACCUUUGAAAGACAGGGGAAGGGAGCCUGAAUAUCUGACACCCUCAAACAAAAAGGCACUAAGGAGAAACAGUCAACCAUCACCCGCUGCUCCCUAAGAAGAG